AUUGUAUCCACGAUUGGGGAAUUUUCCGCAAUGGGCGAAAGCCUGACGGAGCAAUACCGCGUGAGGGAGGAAGGCUCUUGGGUUGUAAACCUCUUUUAUCAGGGAAGAAAAAAAUGACGGUACCUGAAGAAUCAGCCUCGGCUAACUCCGUGCCAGCAGCCGCGGUAAUACGGAGGAGGCAAGCGUUAUCCGGAAUUAUUGGGCGUAAAGCGUCCGCAGGUGGCUUAUCAAGUCUGCUGUCAAAGAGUGGGGCUUAACCCCAUAAAGGCAGUGGAAACUGAGAAGCUAGAGUGCCGUAGGGGUAGAGGGAAUUCCCGGUGUAGCGGUGAAAUGCGUAGAUAUUGGGAAGAACACCAGCGGCGAAAGCGCGCUACUGGGCCACGACUGACACUGAGGGACGAAAGCUAGGGGAGCGAAAGGGAUUAGAUACCCCUGUAGUCAAUCGUGGAUACAAU
rnacentral:rRNA from 1 species